AAGAGUACGUGAAACUGCUUAGAGGUUAAACCCGAUGAACCUGAAUAUCCGUUAUGGAAAAUUCAUCAUUAGUAAUAUAGUAUAUUAAAAAAUAUUAUAUAAAUAGUGUGCAAUUUUUCCAUAUAAGGACAUUGUAAUCUGUUAAUGUAAUAUAUAUUUUUAUCAAAAGAUCCUUAACACAAGUUUAUUUGAAUUGAUUAUUUUUACGGAUUUUUAACAUAAAAUAAAUCUUUUGGAUUUGAUAAAUCAUUGACAGAUAUAAUUAUAUAAUGUGCUCAAAUUCUAAGGAAUUUUAUCAAUGGUAAAUAAAUCUUUUGAUUUGUUUAUUUAAUUGUAUGCGCUAUUAUGAUUAACAAUGCGAUAGAUUCAGGAUACCUUCGGGACCCGUCUUGAAACACGGACCAAGGAGUCUAACAUAUGUGCAAGUCAUUGGGUAUUUUUAAUAAAACCCAAUGGCAAAAUUAACUUAACUGUUACAAUGGGAUUAGUAUAUUAAUUUAUUAAAAUAAAUAUAUUCAAUCCUAGGGCGUUCUAUAUAGUUAUGUAUAAUAAUAUUUAUAUUAUUUAUACCUCUAACUAGAGCGUACCUUGAGCAUUUAUGCUGUGACCCGA
rnacentral:rRNA from 1 species